rnacentral:lncRNA from 1 species
CUUACAGCUUCUCGGAGACACAGCUUCUUCAGUUCCUCCAGCCUCUGACGCAGGGUUUCCUCCAGAGCUUCCUGCCUGGACUUCAAGGCAGCCAGCAUGUCCUUCUUGGCCGACUGCGAGCUAUCUGAUUCCUGAGAACCUGUCGAUAAACAGUGGGGUUACUUGGCCAGCUGACAGGGGACACACAUCUGGACCACUAAUGAAU